rnacentral:lncRNA from 1 species
AGGUCCUCUGGAUUGGUCAAAAGUAACUCUUUGGGUAUACUGUCUGAGAGGAGAAGAGUUGGGCACCGCAACUUGACUCAUUCCAAAAGAAGGUGUAGAAUUUUUGUUUAUGUUGACACUGAAGGACAUAGAUUCAGGAAGAGGAGAAGGGAUGGGGACUGCAACUUGACUCAUUCCAAAAGAAGGUGUAGAAUUUUUGUUUGUGUUGACACUAAAGGACAUAGAAUCAGGAUUGAACUGGGAAAUAGACUGAACUUGUCUUUGUUUUUCAUCAUUGAGGAGAAUGUUAUGACACUGUCGAGGGUAGGGGAGGCUGCAUCAUCAGCAAGUUGCUCCUUACCCCCAUAUAUGUCUCAUUAAGGCCCAUGAGGAAUUGAAACACUUUAUUCUCCUCAUCCUCCUGUAUGAUGCCAGUUUUGGCAGCACAAAUGCACCUUUG